UACGUAGGAGGCAAGCGUUGUCCGGAAUUACUGGGUGUAAAGCGCGUGUAGGCGGUUCGGUAAGUCCGCUGUGAAAGUCGGGGGCUCAACCCUCGGAUGCCGGUGGAUACUGUCGGGCUUGAGUACGGAAGAGGCGAGUGGAAUUCCUGGUGUAGCGGUGAAAUGCGCAGAUAUCAGGAGGAACACCAAUUGCGAAGGCAGCUCGCUGGGACGUUACUGACGCUGAGACGCGAAAGCGUGGGGAGCAAACAGG
rnacentral:rRNA from 1 species